UUAAACUCCCCUGUCAAAACAAAGACAGUUCAUUUAUCCUGCUCACUAAUAAACUCUCCUGUCAAAACAAAGACAGUUCAUUUAUCCUGCUCACUAAUAAACUCUCCUGUCAAAGACCAGUCAGUUAAUUUAUCCUGCUCACUAAUACACUCUCCUGUCAAAGACCAGUCAGUUCAUUUAUCCUGCUCACUAAUAAACUCUCCUGUCAAAGACCAGUCAGUUCAUUUAUCCUGCUCACUAAUAAACUCUCUUGUCAAAGACCAGUCAGUUCAUUUAUCCUGCUCACUAAUAAACUCUCCUGUCAAAGACCAGUCAGUUAAUUUAUCCUGCUCACUAAUAAACUCUCCUCUCAAAGACCAGUCAGUUCAUUUAUCCCGCUCACUAAUAAACUCUCCUGUCAAAGACCAGUCAGUUCAUUUAUCCUGCUCACUAAUAAACUCUCUUGUCAAAACAAAGACAGUUCAUUUAUCCUGCUCACUAAUAAACUCUCCUGUCAAAGACCAGUCAGUUAAUUUAUCCUGCUCACUAAUACACUCUUCUGUCAAAGACCAGUCAGUUAAUUUAUCCUGCUCACUAAUAAACUCUCCUGUCAAAGACCAGUCAGUUCAUUUAUCCUGCUCACUAAUAAACUCUCUUGUCAAAGACCAGUCAGUUCAUUUAUCCUGCUCACUAAUAAACUCUCCUGUCAAAGACCAGUCAGUUAAUUUAUCCUGCUCACUAAUAAACUCUCCUGUCAAAGACCAGUCAGUUCAUUUAUCCCGCUCACUAAUAAACUCUCCUGUCAAAGACCAGUCAGUUCAUUUAUCCUGCUCACUAAUAAACUCUCCUGUCAAAGACCAGUCAGUUCAUUUAUCCUGCUCACUAAUAAACUCUCCUGUCAAAGACCAGUCAGUUAAUUUAUCCCGCUCACUAAUAAACUCUCCUGUCAAAGACCAGUCAGUUCAUUUAUCCUGCUCACUAAUAAACUCCCCUGUCAAAACAAAGACCAGUCAGUUCAUUUAUCCUGCUCACUAAUAAACUCCCCAGUCAAAACAAAGACAGGUCAGUUAUACAUUUUAAAAGAUAGUUUGUUUUGUUGAGUCUUGGCAUAAUUCAGUUACUAUGGAAUUGACCACUAGGCAUUAAGAGUUUGAAAUAAGUUUAUUAUUUCAGAAAUGUAAAUACUGUGGACCUGUCUACCAGGGUUAGGGUCAACUCCAUUUAUCUAGCUAGGGACCCGUCUACCAGGGUUAGGGUCAACUCCAUUUAUCUAGCUAGGGACCCGUCUACCAGGGUUUGGGUCAACUCCAUUUAUCUAGCUAGGGACCCGUCUACCAGGGUUUGGGCCAAUUCCAUUUAUCUAGCUAGGGACCCGUCUACCAGGGUUUGGGUCAACUCCAUUUAUCUAGCUAGGGACCCGUCUACCAGGGUUUGGGUCAACUCCAUUUAUCUAGCUAGGGACCCGUCUACCAGGGUUAGGGUCAACUCCAUUUAUCUAGCUAGGGACCCGUCUACCAGGGUUUGGGUCAACUCCAUUUAUCUAGCUAAUGACCCGUCUACCAGGGUUUGGGUCAACUCCAUUUAUCUAGCUAGGGACCCGUCUACCAGGGUUUGGGUCAACUCCAUUUAUCUAGCUAGGGACCCGUCUACCAGGGUUUGGGUCAACUCCAUUUAUCUAGCUAGGGACCCGUCUACCAGGGUUUGGGCCAAUUCCAUUUAUCUAGCUAGGGACCCGUCUACCAGGGUCAGGGUCAACUCCAUUUAUCUAGCUAGGGACCCGUCUACCAGGGUUAGGGUCAACUCCAUUUAUCUAGCUAGGGACCCGUCUACCAGGGUUUGGGUCAACUCCAUUUAUCUAGCUAGGGACCCGUCUACCAGGGUUAGGGUAAAUUCCAUUUAUAUAGCUAGGGACCCGUCUACCAGGGUUAGGGUCAACUCCAUUUAUAUAGCUAGGGACCCGUCUACCAGGGUUUGGGUCAAUUCCAAUUUCAUUCAGGAAAUACACUAAAAAGGUUUUUCCAUUCAGAAUGGUUUUUAUUUGUUUUUUAAAGGAAUUUUGUUAACUUUCUGAGAUAGAUUGGAAUUGACAGCGUUGGACCAGUCAGUAACCGAAAGGUCGCUAGGUCAGAUCCCCGAGCUGACCAGAUAAAAAUAUAUAUAUAAUCUAUCGAUGGGCCCUUGAGCAAGGCACUUAAACCCUAAUUGCUCCUGUAAGUGGCUCUGCAUAAGAGCAUCUAAAAUGUCCAACAAAAUGAAAAAAAAUAAUAAUGUAAAUGUAGAAAAGUAACUUGCCACACACACCAACCAACACAUGGGAUUGGACAGUCAAACUGUCCAUUAAAAUAGCAGCCAACCGGUGUCACUGGUGAUAUCCUGCGCCGCGUCGUGAUUCGUUUACGUUCACAAACAAACAAAAAGCGGUCUGUUACCUUUACUGUAACGGCAGCCUUCAAAAUAUAGAUAUGAGCCUUCGACAAGUGCUCCUCUAACCAACCACCAACCAGCAUUUCACUCACGCUUGUGAAUAAAAAAAAUAGUAAAGUAUGAUCACAUGUAUAGUAAAGUAUGAUCACAUGUAUAGUAAAGUAUGAUCACAUUUAUAGUAACGUAUGGUCACAUUUAUAGUAAAGUAUGAUCACAUUUAUAGUAAAGUAUGAUCACAUGUAUAGCAAAGUAUGAUCACAUGUAUAGUAAAGUAUGAUCCCAUGUAUAGUAAAGUAUGAUCCCAUGUAUAGUAAAGUAUGAUCCCAUGUAUAGUAAAGUAUGAUCCCAUGUAUAGUAAAGUAUGAUCACAUGUAUAGUAAAGUAUGAUCACAUGUAUAGUAAAGUAUGAUCACAUUUAUAGUAAAGUAUGAUCACAUUUAUAAUAAAGUAUGAUCACAUUUAUAGUAACGCAUGAUCACAUUUAUAGUAACGCAUGAUCACAUUUAUAGUAACGCAUGAUCACAUGUAUAGUAACGCAUGAUCACAUGUAUAGUAAAGUAUGAUCACAUGUAUAGUAAAGUAUGAUCGCAUGUAUAGUAAAGUAUGAUCGCAUUUAUAAUAAAGUAUGAUCACAUUUAUAGUAACGCAUGAUCACAUUUAUAGUAACGCAUGAUCACAUUUAUAGUAACGCAUGAUCACAUUUAUAGUAACGCAUGAUCACAUGUAUAGUAAUGUAUGAUCGCAUGUAUAGUAAAGUAUGAUCGCAUGUAUAGUAAAGUAUGAUCGCAUUUAUAGUAAAGUAUGAUCACAUGUAUAGUAAAGUAUGAUCGCAUGUAUAGUAAAGUAUGAUCGCAUUUAUAGUAAAGUAUGAUCACAUGUAUAGUAUGAUCGCAUUUAUAGUAAUGUAUGAUCACAUUUAUAGUAAAGUAUGAUCACAUGUAUAGUAAAGUAUGAUCACAUGUAUAGUAAAGUAUGAUCACAUGUAUAGUAAAGUAUGAUCACAUGUAUAGUAAAGUAUGAUCGCAUUUAUAGUAAAGUAUGAUCACAUUUAUAGUAAAGUAUGAUCACAUGUAUAGUAAAGUAUGAUCACGUGUAUAGUAAAGUAUGAUCACAUGUAUAGUAAAGUAUGAUCGCAUUUAUAGUAAAGUAUGAUCACAUGUAUAGUAAAGUAUGAUCACAUGUAUAGUAAAGUAUGAUCACAUGUAUAGUAAAGUAUGAUCGCAUUUAUAGUAAAGUAUGAUCACAUUUAUAGUAAAGUAUGAUCACAUGUAUAGUAAAGUAUGAUCACGUGUAUAGUAAAGUAUGAUCACAUGUAUAGUAAAGUAUGAUCACAUCUAUAGUAAAGUAUGAUCACAUGUAUAGUAAAGUAUGAUCGCAUUUAUAGUAAAGUAUGAUCACAUGUAUAGUAUGAUCGCAUUUAUAGUAAUGUAUGAUCACAUUUAUAGUAAAGUAUGAUCACAUGUAUAGUAAAGUAUGAUCACAUGUAUAGUAAAGUAUGAUCACAUGUAUAGUAAAGUAUGAUCACAUGUAUAGUAAAGUAUGAUCGCAUUUAUAGUAAAGUAUGAUCACAUUUAUAGUAAAGUAUGAUCACAUGUAUAGUAAAGUAUGAUCACGUGUAUAGUAAAGUAUGAUCACAUGUAUAGUAAAGUAUGAUCGCAUUUAUAGUAAAGUAUGAUCACAUGUAUAGUAAAGUAUGAUCACAUGUAUAGUAAAGUAUGAUCACAUGUAU
rnacentral:lncRNA from 1 species